GUAGUUGAUUGGUGUGUAGAUAUUUUCGUUUGAGCUUGGUUUUCCAAGCGAGAAUCUAUCUCCUAAAGGUCACUCGCUCCUACACCGUUGGCUUAUUAGGGCCGACUUUUAUGCAGAACGGCCGUUCGGGU
rfam:Sulfurovum sp. FS06-10 Sequence0000000303, whole genome shotgun sequence.